AUGUGCCUCUUGCGAAAAGAAAAAAAAACAUGCAUUUUCCUUUUUCAAGAGGCCUCUCGCAAAAGCAAAUCUGUGCCUCUCAAGGUAGAAAAAGAAAAACACAUUUUCCUUCUUUUUUCGAGAGGCACAGCUGCCUCUCGCCGAAGCAAAUCGAUGCCUCUACGGAAAGUAAAUAUGCGCCUCUCACAAAUUUCUUUUGCAUUUUUUCUUGUUCAAAACCUAAAGAAAACCAGAGAAAUCCAAAAAGCCGAAAAAAUCGAAACAAAAAGUCGUCUAAAAGCCGAAAAUGACUCUUGCAGGGCUCUCCAAGGAUUACUCCUUAAUUCGGUCGCAGCUGUGGUCUAG
rnacentral:rRNA from 1 species